UUAUAGUCGGCGCUUAUGAAUGCAGUGGUCAUAGAAGUUUGGUAAGAGCACUCUGAGGAGAGUUCUGUGAUGUUUCGUUCACGCUGACAGCUACAGUUCACAGCUACAGAAGGGAUGCCACCUUUAGCUGGAGCCGAGUUGGUCCACACUCCAUUGCAGCUGUAUCGAUACCUGCUCAGGUGCUGCAGGCAGUUACCGUCCACAGCAAUGCAACAACACUAUCGACAUGCCAUAAGACAGGGUUACAACAGCCACUCAGAUGAAGACGACCCUGAGAGGAUACAGAUGAUCAUCCAGAGAGCGAUUGCAGAUGCUGACUGGAUUCUCGAUAAAUAUACCAAGAAGAAAUGAGAGCGUGUCCACGGCGGUGCAUUUUGCAGGGCUGUCCUGGAGUCACACUGGUAAAGGUUCCUCAGGCUGCGUAUGUAAUGAUGUAGAAGCAGAACUGAAGGGGACGACAUACGACCUACAAUGGUUCUAGAUUAUCUUCCAUGCUGAAGAAGAAGAAAGAGAACAUGGAAGAUGGCAGCAAGUACAGCUGCUACCAUAUCGCUGCCCGUACUUGUUAAUAGUAAAAGUCCGGUAUGGAAGUACUUUACAUUCUUGUCCUGAAAUACACUUUACUACUUUGUUUGAGACAGCUAGCAUCAAAUCAGCUGUGUUCCUUACUAGAGCUGGGCAGUCAAAAAGGAAUCAAAACUGACACUGGGAAUCUCUAAUCCACGUAAUCUUUCCCGUGUCGGUUAUUUCAGUUUUUUAAAAUUCUGUGUUGUCACGUGACUCUGUGCCUUCUGCAGCAUCAUGGAGAAAAACAAACAAAUCAACACAUCGAGCUGUGUGCACAACUUCAAAUCUCACGUCUGUUGUUUGGACACGUUUGACUUUAGUAAAGACGACUUCAAACAUAAGGGAGAAAAACAUUUCAUCAUCCAACAACAAUACUACAAAUCUGUUGCAACGCUUGGAGGACAAUCGUGUCACCAAUUAAAAAUAUCCCACCUUUAACAGUUCGCAUAUUUACAGUACGACCUGACUGCACGGGGUUAUGGUGUGUUGUGUGUCGAAAUUUGAAGUGAAAAAUGAAAAAGGCUGGAACGUGACAAAACGUGGGACAAGUGAAGAGCUGUUAAUACGGUCUUGUUGCACUGUGUGUGUAUGUAUAUAAAAUAAUUAUUCAGUAGUUGCAAUAAAGAUAAAAUGUUCA